GCGAUAGUUGGAGACUUAGCAUAGCUCAAGACUGAAGACUUAAGUGUGGAAAAUUGUAUGGAUAUAUAAUGUAUUUAUUGUUUGUAUGAGUAUGCAUAUUUUUUGAAAUGAGGAAUCCUUUAAAUGGAUCUGAAAUGUCUUAAUAGGACGUCAGGUUUAUUCUCAAUCCCUCAUCCAUAUUAAUGCAUAUCCGAAGUUAAAGAGUAUAAUUUUAUUUGAAAUGCUACUGUCAAUGGGUUAGCCUUCUGAGAUUUUACAUCUAGGAUUCUGUGGACAUGGGAGUUGUGUCCUUCCUAAAUGGGGGAAAUCAAAGAACAUAAUAGUCCUUGUUAAACUUCAUUUAUGAAGAAUCUCUUUGUAUCCUUUUGACUUCUUCAUUCAGUUUGUUGCAGCUUGC
rnacentral:misc_RNA from 1 species